rnacentral:rRNA from 1 species
UACGUAGGGUGCAAGCGUUAAUCGGAAUUACUGGGCGUAAAGCGUGCGCAGGCGGUUAUGCAAGACAGAUGUGAAAUCCCCGGGCUCAACCUGGGAACUGCAUUUGUGACUGCAUAGCUAGAGUACGUUAGAGGGGGAUGGAAUUCCGCGUGUAGCAGUGAAAUGCGUAGAUAUGCGGAGGAACACCGAUGGCGAAGGCAAUCCCCUGGACCUGUACUGACGCUCAUGCACGAAAGCGUGGGGAGCAAACAGG